CCUACGGGAGGCAGCAGUGGGGAAUUUUCCGCAAUGGGCGAAAGCCUGACGGAGCAACGCCGCGUGAGGGACGAAGGCCUCUGGGCUGUAAACCUCUUUUCUCAAGGAAGAAGAUAUGACGGUACUUGAGGAAUAAGCCACGGCUAAUUCCGUGCCAGCAGCCGCGGUAAUACGGGAGUGGCAAGCGUUAUCCGGAAUUAUUGGGCGUAAAGCGUCCGCAGGCGGCUUUUCAAGUCUGCUGUUAAAGCGUGGAGCUUAACUCCAUCAUGGCAGUGGAAACUGAAAGGCUUGAGUAUGGUAGGGGCAGAGGGAAUUCCCGGUGUAGCGGUGAAAUGCGUAGAUAUCGGGAAGAACACCAGUGGCGAAGGCGCUCUGCUGGGCCAUUACUGACGCUCAUGGACGAAAGCCAGGGGAGCGAAAGGGAUUAGAUACCCCUGUAGUCCUGGCCGUAAACGAUGAACACUAGGUGUCGGGGGAAUCGACCCCUUCGGUGUCGUAGCUAACGCGUUAAGUGUUCCGCCUGGGGAGUACGCACGCAAGUGUGAAACUCA
rnacentral:rRNA from 1 species